rnacentral:rRNA from 1 species
UACGUAGGUGGCGAGCGUUAUCCGGAAUUAUUGGGCGUAAAGCGAGCGCAGGUGGUUUCUUAAGUCUGACGUGAAAGCCCACGGCUCAACCGUGGAAGGUCAUUGGAAACUGGGGAACUUGAAUGCAGAAGAGGAGAGUGGAAUUCCAUGUGUAGCGGUGAAAUGCGUAGAUAUAUGGAGGAACACCAGUGGCGAAGGCGACUCUCUGGUCUGUUAUUGACACUGAGGCUCGAAAGCGUGGGGAGCAAACAGGAUUAGAUACCCCU